UAGGGAAUAUUAGUAAUGGGCGAAAGCCUGAACUAGCAACGCCGCGUGUGCGAAGAAGGCCUUCGGGUUGUAAAGCACUUUUUGAGAGGAUGAGGAAGGACGGUACUCUCAGAAUAAGUCUCGGCUAACUACGUGCCAGCAGCCGCGGUAACACGUAGGAGGCGAACGUUAUCCGGAUUUACUGGGCGUAAAGCGCGUGUAGGUGGUUUGGUAAGUAGGGCGUGAAAGCUCCUGGCUCAACUGGGAGAGGCCGUUCUAAACUGCCGAACUAGAGGAUGGUAGAGGGAGGUGGAAUUCCGGGUGUAGCGGUGGAAUGCGCAGAUAUCCGGAGGAACACCAGUGGCGAAAGCGGCCUCCUGGACCACUCCUGACACUCAGACGCGAAAGCUAGGGUAGCAAACG
rnacentral:rRNA from 2 species